rnacentral:rRNA from 1 species
UACGAAGGGGGCUAGCGUUGUUCGGAAUUACUGGGCGUAAAGCGCACGUAGGCGGGUCGUUAAGUCAGGGGUGAAAUCCCAGAGCUCAACUCUGGAACUGCCUUUGAUACUGGCGACCUAGAGUUCGGAAGAGGUUAGUGGAAUUCCCAGUGUAGAGGUGAAAUUCGUAGAUAUUGGGAAGAACACCAGUGGCGAAGGCGGCUAACUGGUCCGAUACUGACGCUGAGGUGCGAAAGCGUGGGGAGCAAACGGG